rnacentral:rRNA from 1 species
GAUGAACGCUGGCGGCGUGCCUAAUACAUGCAAGUCGAGCGAACGGACGAGAAGCUUGCUUUUCUGAUGUUAGCGGCGGACGGGUGAGUAACACGUGGAUAACCUACCUAUAAGACUGGGAUAACUUCGGGAAACCGGAGCUAAUACCGGAUAAUAUUUUGAACCGCAUGGUUCAAAAGUGAAAGACGGUCUUGCUGUCACUUAUAGAUGGAUCCGCGCUGCAUUAGCUAGUUGGUAAGGUAACGGCUUACCAAGGCAACGAUGCAUAGCCGACCUGAGAGGGUGAUCGGCCACACUGGAACUGAGACACGGUCCAGACUCCUACGGGAGGCAGCAGUAGGGAAUCUUCCGCAAUGGGCGAAAGCCUGACGGAGCAACGCCGCGUGAGUGAUGAAGGUCUUCGGAUCGUAAAACUCUGUUAUUAGGGAAGAACAUAUGUGUAAGUAACUGUGCACAUCUUGACGGUACCUAAUCAGAAAGCCACGGCUAACUACGUGCCAGCAGCCGCGGUAAUACGUAGGUGGCAAGCGUUAUCCGGAAUUAUUGGGCGUAAAGCGCGCGUAGGCGGUUUUUUAAGUCUGAUGUGAAAGCCCACGGCUCAACCGUGGAGGGUCAUUGGAAACUGGAAAACUUGAGUGCAGAAGAGGAAAGUGGGAUUCCAUGUGUAGCGGUGAAAUGCGCAGAGAUGUGGAGGAACACCAGUGGCGAAGGCGACUUUCUGGUCUGUAACUGACGCUGAUGUGCGAAAGCGUGGGGAUCAAACAGGAUUAGAUACCCUGGUAGUCCACGCCGUAAACGAUGAGUGCUAAGUGUUAGGGGGUUUCCGCCCCUUAGUGCUGCAGCUAACGCAUUAAGCACUCCGCCUGGGGAGUACGACCGCAAGGUUGAAACUCAAAGGAAUUGACGGGGGCCCGCACAAGCGGUGGAGCAUGUGGUUUAAUUCGAGGCAACGCGAAGAACCUUACCAAAUCUUGACAUCCUUUGACAACUCUAGAGAUAGAGCCUUCCCCUUCGGGGGACAAAGUGACAGGUGGUGCAUGGUUGUCGUCAGCUCGUGUCGUGAGAUGUUGGGUUAAGUCCCGCAGCGAGCGCAACCCUUAAGCUUAGUUGCCAUCAUUAAGUUGGGCACUCUAAGUUGACUGCCGGUGACAAACCGGAGGAAGGUGGGGAUGACGUCAAAUCAUCAUGCCCCUUAUGAUUUGGGCUACACACGUGCUACAAUGGACAAUACAAAGGGCAGCGAAACCGCGAGGUCAAGCAAAUCCCAUAAAGUUGUUCUCAGUUCGGAUUGUAGUCUGCAACUCGACUACAUGAAGCUGGAAUCGCUAGUAAUCGUAGAUCAGCAUGCUACGGUGAAUACGUUCCCGGGUCU